GACUCAGGUCUAGCAGGUAGGAGGACUCAGGUCUAGCAGGUAGGAGGACUCAGGUCUAGCAGGUAGGAAGACUCAGGUCUAGCAGGUAGGAGGACUCAGGUCUAGCAGGUAGGAAGACUCAGGUCUAGCAGGUAGGAGGACUCAGGUCUAGCAGGUAGGAGGACUCAGGUCUAGCAGGUAGGAGGACGCAGGUCUAGCAGGUAGGAGGACUCAGGUCUAGCAGGUAGGAAGACUCAGGUCGAGCAGGUAGGAGGACCCAAGCCUGUUUAAAAGAAGAUAACUUUGUCUGAGAUGGUACUUUCACAGAUAUUUGCUGAAUAGAUUUAGUAUUUUCCUAGACCACGUGGUGUGAUGACAAUCUGAGCCAAUAUUGUCUUUCCCAGUUAAUGCCAGGGUUUCUUAUUAAUGCAUUAUCCAUAGUCCAGGAAACGACUAAGGUCUGGUGCUGAAAUUACAUUUUCAUUUGAUUUAAAGGGCAAUUCUAGUUAUAUGUUCCUUUCUCUGUUAGCACUCUG
ensembl:lncRNA